UACGUAGGGGGCUAGCGUUGUCCGGAUUUAUUGGGCGUAAAGAGCGUGUAGGCGGCCAGGUAGGUCUGCUGUGAAAACUCGAGGCUCAACCUCGAGACGUCGGCGGAAACCAUCUGGCUAGAGUCCGGAAGAGGAGAGUGGAAUUCCUGGUGUAGCGGUGAAAUGCGCAGAUAUCAGGAGGAACACCCGUGGCGAAAGCGGCUCUCUGGGACGGUACUGACGCUGAGACGCGAAAGCGUGGGGAGCGAACAGG
rnacentral:rRNA from 1 species